AAGUGUGGCGACUUGUCGCCUUAGCAACUGUUGCUACGUAGAAAGUGAUUAAACAAGGCCCGAGUUCUGUGCUUGGCUCAGUAGAGCCGAAGACAUUGGAAGGAAACAUCCAUAAGUAGAUCGCUCGUCUAAUAGUGAUGGAUAUAAUUGUCAACGCGUGUUAUUAUAAUCUGUUCUUUCUAUUAUUAUUAUUUAGAUUUCUAAACGGUCAUUCGACUUUAAUUAUAGGUCAAGAUGUGCAAUGCGAAAAAGAAGGAGAAGAAGUUAAAGUGAAAAGUAUUUCCGAUAAUCCUUGUUUUACCUGCAAGUGUCAAGUGAGUAUACGAUGUUCCUCAUAUUGCAAAUAAUUUAAAGGAUAUAUGAAAACUUGACGGAUAAAAAAAGGAUAUGCCAACUUAAAUAUAUUCGUUUUAAUGAUUAAAAAAACAAGAUUUUAUCAAUAAUUAGAACAGAUCGUUUUUGUUAUACUGUUAGAAAAAUUAAAAGCCAUUAUAGGAAGUGAUCCGGUAACAUAUACACACAUUCGAUUUUCUGUACUUCCGUGUCAUUUUAUGGAAUGGUAAUGCGAUAUUCCCGCUGUACUUGCUACUACAGAAUGUUGUUUGCAGAUAUAAAGUAUGAAGUUGCAGAAUAAUGUAUAUAAUAGAUUACCAGAACUCCUUUUUGACUUUAGGACAAUCGGGCCCCUGUGCCAUCUUUAGUGGUCGUGAGGCGCGCAGUCGCUGCCUUCGGGGUUUCUCCAGGCCUCUCUGCUUUAUACUGUAUUUAAGAUCGUGGGGUUCUCAGUUCUUUGCGGUAAUUUUGACUUUCCUUUCUAAUUCCGUGAGAUAAGCAUUCAUCGAAUAAUUCAAAAACUAACUCAAAAAAUAAAUAAUAGAUGAAACUCCAAAAGUUUUUCCUGUUGUAAUAUUCUUGCUUGUUUAUAUGAUUAUAUAUUAUAAUGGAAGCCAUUUUCGUUCACUUCCUUUACUUGCCAGUUAGACACUACAGGCUUAUAGCUUGAAAAAAAUGCU
rnacentral:lncRNA from 1 species